rnacentral:rRNA from 1 species
UACGUAGGGCGCAAGCGUUGUCCGGAAUUAUUGGGCGUAAAGAGCGUGUAGGCGGUCCGGUAAGUCAGCUGUGAAAGUCAAGGGCUCAACCCUUGAAUGCCGGUUGAUACUGUCGGGCUAGAGUCCGGAAGAGGCGAGUGGAAUUCCCGGUGUAGCGGUGAAAUGCGCAGAUAUCGGGAGGAACACCAAUGGCGAAGGCGGGUCUCUGGGCCGAUACUGACGCUGAGGAGCGAAAGCGUGGGGAGCAAACAGG